rnacentral:lncRNA from 1 species
UAUACAGAGAAACCCUGUCUUGAAGAACAAAAAAAAAAAAAAAAAAAAAAAGUGUGAGCCACCACGCCUGGCUUACUUUUUGUUGCUAUUGGGGUUUGUUUUUUUCCACACUUACCUAUUUCCUGCGUUUAUAUGUAUGUAUGUGAGCGUGCUCAUACCAUCGUGUGCAUGUUACUUUAUGGGUAGAUAACUUUGGGACUGUGUUCUCUUCUACCCUGUGGGUUCCUAGGACCCAGCAUAGAUGGUCAGACUUAUUGACAGCCACCUUUUAUCUGCUAAGCCACUUUCCUGGCCACUGAGAACUUAUGUGAAGAAAAUAUAGACAUUGAAAAGUACACAGUAUUGAAUCUGCAUGAGAAACACACUCAGAAAGUGCAAUUCUGGCUAGUUUUAGAUUUUUUUUUUUUUAAUGAGUGAUAAAUAACAAAGCCAAGUGUGGUAGCUCACAUGACCUAUCUCAGUGUAUGGGCAGUUGGGGCAGGAGGAUUGCCACUAAUAGUUCAGUAUCAGCCUGGGCUACAUAGUGAGUUCCAGGUCAGCCUGAUUUACCAUGUGAGACUUUCUUGGUGUGGGGGUGGGGGUGGGGAGGGGUGUGUGUGUGAGACUAUACAUUUAUUGAUGACUUUAUUCAAUAUUUGAAAAGGACAAAGCUUAGGAAGUAAAUGCACUUGUGUCCCAAUCCCUCCACCUGGCUUUUCUCCUUAGAGACAGACGACCAGUGUCAGCCAUUUCCUCACCCCGCACACAUAAGCUCUGCACUCAGCACCUGCCCUAGACGGCACGCCUCGCCCUCUUUUAUACGCAGGGCAGCGCAUGCUACGCAAACUGCUCGAAACCUUGGUUUUCUUCACUUUAUUUUCCUUGGCAAGAUGAAACAAGCUUCCACGUCACCCUUUGUGAAGGCCGUCCAUUUUCGAUCCAGCUUUCUGUCCUAGAGGCUGCUGGGAAGCCCACUUGUUGAGGGCAGCUGCUUUGUAUGGACAUCUUAAAGCAUUUUGUGGCAGUUUGGAGACAAAUGUUUUUCUUCUUUGCCCUACUCUACUGUCUAAAGGUCUUGAUCGGUCUCAUUUUCUCCACCAAUUAAAGCAUUAAAUGACAGAAAAAAAAUUUUAGACACAGCAGGUAGCAACAGGCAACAAACUUUAUUAAAAGUGAAUUAGCAUACACACAUCACAAAGCGUGCAGGAAGACUCCUCACAAAGUAGAGAGGGGACAUUCAGAAACAAAAAUACACACCCCCUAACCAGGGCUGGCAGUUAUGUUCCUGGGCCCGGGAUGGGUCCCCUCCCCCUUAUUUUGGAUUGGUCAACUUAAACAAAGAAAGGGGAGCUAACAAGGUCCACAGCUUCAGAAAAACACGUUCAGUACCAGCCUUGAAUACCUGACAGCCUGGACAGACGACAGUCAGAAGCGGUGGCUGCUGGUGGAGGAGAAAACCUGCCAGGCUUUUGUGUGGAGGGUGAGGAAGAGGCCAGAAGUUUUCAGGUUUUAUUGUUAUCUGUGGCCCUGUUCUCUGUCUGUCUACCUGUCAGGAAUCUGUCUGUUCCUUGUCCCUCAGUAGGAAGGGGUCUGAGCCUGAGAAAAUGCCAGGAGAGGUCGAAGACUCCUCCUCCAGGUUAGUCUCCGAAGGAGAAUAAGGAACACUUAGACCCCUUGGGCUGCAACGGUGCCCUCUGGGCAGAACGUCCAGGCAGUGCCAGAGGCGGUUCCCUGUGUUCUCUGGCAUCCAGAAUUUCAUUUCCAGCUUCUGUUGUCUGGCCCUGUGUCUCCACAGCUGCCCUCUCUGUGUUGUCACCUUUGAACAGCAGCCUGCCCUUCCCCUCAGGACUUCCUGUUCGGGGGAGCAUUAGUAAGUGCCACACCCUUUUUCUCUCUCCUCAUAAGAACCAGCUCUGUCCACUUCCAUUGUCCCCAAAUCUAGGCAUGACUUUUGUUGAUUCUAUUGGAAGUUUCCCAGGACAUCCAUACCUUUUGCCACUCCCACUGAGCCAGCUUUGCUUGCUAAAGCUUUCCCUGGGUCUAAGAGGCUUUCCCGGUUCCUCACAUUUGUGUUUCUGUGGUUACACCCGAGCUUUUAAAUAGCCACACCGAUUUAAACACAGCCUGCUGGUCUUCUGUGGUUCCUGGACUUUGCCUGUGGGUUUUGGGUUUUCUCUAAAUGUUCCUCGGCCUCUUGCUUUUAUUUACUCCCGAUUAUCUCUGAGUCUGCCUUAGAGUCACCUUGGAAGUGACUGAAUGUCCAAGAUGUUAGUCAGUGAGGCCAGCCUUAAGUCAUCAUUUCUCGGUCUUUGCUCAAUGCUGGGCAGCAUAGUAUCCCUCGGUUUGUGCCACAGGCACCUUGUGCGUUCAAGGAGGGGGGAUAUGGUUAUGAGUUAUUCUUUUCUCCAAUAAAAGAGACAAAUUCCAAACAAGUGUCUUCCAGUUGUUCACCAUCACUCUGGACAGUUUUUUUAUGUACUUAGUCAUGUCAGUGAGGGCGGUGGAAAAAAAAUAAAACACAGACAGGAAGUCAGUCCAACAUGGCUCACCCAAAUUCAAAAUCUUUCAAAUAAGGAAAACCAACCUAACAUCGCUUAUCACCUUCAUUUUUAAAAUUUAUUUAUUUAUUUAUUUAUUUAUUUAUUUAUUUGUUAUAUGUAAGUACACUGUAGCUGUCUUCAGACACUCCAGAAGAGGGAGUCAGAUCUUGUUAUGGAUGGUUGUGAGCCACCAUGUGGUUGCUGGGAUUUGAACUCUGGACCUUCGGAAGAGCAGUCGGGUGCUCUUACCCACUGAGCCAUCUCACCAGCUCCCUUCAUUUUAUUUAUGAAUAGAUAUGUCGACAAAUAUGUUAGCAUCUGAGGAAGUCGAUGUCUUAGAAUACAGAAACCAGUCAGGCGGUGACGAUACAUGCUUUUAGUCCCAGCAUUCUGGAAGCAGAGGCAGGUGGAUCUCUGUGAGUUCAGGACCAAACUGGUUUAUAGAAGUAGUUCCAGGACAGCCAGGGCUACCUUGUCUCGGGACAAAAAG